AGAUGAUUCUGCUCCAGUGGUAGCAGCAACCAAGAAGCAACCCAAGACUCUGACUGUGCCUGGAAGCCCUGUGUGUCGGCAGGACCCAAUGCCCCUACCACCACAAUGGUCAACACCAGCCGGGACUGGAGCCAGUCCUCACCACCCUAGCCCAAGUCCUGUUGACCCUGUUCAAG